CGGGGAGGUAGUGACGAAAAAUAACAAUACGGGACUCUUAUGAGACCCCGUAAUUGGAAUGAGUACACUCUAAAUCCUUUAACGAGGACCAAUUGGAGGGAAAGUCUGGUGCCAGCAGCCGCGGUAAUACCAGCUCCAAUAGCAUAUAUUAAAUUUGUUGCGGUUAAAAAGCUCGUAGUUGGAUCUCAGUUGCAGACGGGGAAGUCUACUUCACAGCAGUACUACCUGGCCUGAACAUCCCGUCGGUUUCCCUAGAUGAUCUUCGCCGGUUGUCUUGGGUGACCGACACGUUUACUUUGAAAAAAUUAGAGUGCUCAAAGCAGGCGCGACGCCUGAAUAAUGGUGCAUGGAAUAAUAGAAUAGGACCUCGGUUCUAUUUUGUUGGUUUUCGGAACACGAGGUAAUGAUUAAGAGGGACAGACGGGGGCAUUCGUAUUGCGACGCUAGAGGUGAAAUUCUUGGACCGUCGCAAGACGAACUACUGCGAAAGCAUUUGCCAAGAAUGUUUUCAUUAAUCAAGAACGAAAGUUAGAGGUUCGAAGGCGAUCAGAUACCGCCCUAGUUCUAACCAUAAACGAUGCCAACCAGCGAUCCGCCUGAGUUCCUCAAAUGACUCGGCGGGCAGCUUCCGGGAAACCAAAGUGUUUGGGUUCCGGGGGAAGUAUGGUUGCAAAGCUAAAACUUAAAGGAAUUGACGGAUGGGCACACAAGAAAUGGAGCCUGCGGCUUAAUUUGACUCAACACGGGGUAGCCUACCCGGCCCGGACACUGGAAGGAUUGACAGAUUAAGAGCUCUUUCUUGAUUCAGUGCAUGGUGGUGCAUGGCCGUUCUUAGUUCGUGGAGUGAUUUGUCAGGUUGAUUCCGAUAACGGACGAGAUACUAGCCUACUAAAUAGGCGUUCCGAUCAAUUUUGUCGGACGUUCUUCUUAGAGGGACAAGCGGCUUUUAGCCGCACGAGACAGUGCAAUAACAGGUCUUGAAUGCCCUUAGAUGUCCGGGGCUGCACGCGCGCUACACUGAAGGAAUCAGCGUGUGAUUUCCCUGUCUGGUAGGACUGGGUAACCCGCUAAAACUCCUUCGUGAUAGGGAUAGGGGCUUGUAAUUGUUCCCCUUGAACGAGGAACUCCCAGUAAGCAUGAGUCAUAAGCUCGUGUUGAUUACGUCCCUGCCCAUUGUACACACCGCCCGUCGCUACUACCGAUUGAAUGAUUUAGUGAGGUCUUCGGAUUGGCGCUCGGAACGACCUUCGGCCGUGCCGACGUGCCGGAAAGAUGACCAAACUUGAUCAUUUAGAGGAAGUAAAAGUCGUAACAAGGUAUUCGUAGGUGAACCU
rnacentral:rRNA from 1 species